GCAAGAGAGUUUGUGUGGGAGCUGUGAUCAACACAUCUGUUCUAUAAAAACCCCCUGAAUCUGUGACGCCGACAGAGAUUUACACAUAGAUGGAGGAUGUCUAAAUGCAGAUGAUUCCUCAUCGCCUCCUCCUUCUGCCGUUCAACCCAGCGAUCCAAGGCGUCUGCCUUCAACGUGUCCGCAGGGUCCGUGGUUGGCGGAAACAUUCUGUUAUGGUUUGUGAGAUAUAGGACCCCAGAAUGCAGACCAGAAGGCAGCAUGACGAGUGUGUCACACUGCCAAGCAAACCAAUAGUAUGACCGGUUCGAUGCCAUACUUGGACACAGACCUGCAUAUUCACUGACUGCAGCAACAAAUGACUCAGCCACAGCGUUGCUAGAGGCUAUGUGCCAGGACGAGGAAGACACUGACAUUGAAUACAGCCAAGGCAAGUGAAAAGGGGGCCGGGAGCCAAAUGUCCUAGUUGCCAUUCGGAAGGUGGAUGAAGGCUUCAAGAGUGUCCUGCAGCAGCUCUAGACCAGCCAGAGAGAGGAGAGGGAUUGCAGAAGGCAGGAGCUCCACAGCUCUUAAGAAAAUAGAGAAUAUAGAGCAAACCAUCUUGCUGUCUUGAUUGCCCAAAAUCUGUGAAACUCAAUUUGUACAGCUACUUUUGCACACAUCUGGUUUUGCUUUGUUUGCACGGUGUUGUAUUUCUUUAGUUAAGACAGAAAGCUCUACUUCAUGUGCAUUUAUUUGCGUGGUAUUGAAUGAUUAAGGUAGGUAAUCAAAUUAAGAUCAUAAGUUUGAAAAAGGGCCAAAUUCAGGUAUGUUUGCAUAAAAAAAUAUUCACCACCCUUUUUUAUGUCAGCACAACAUAUAUAGCCUAGUAAACUGAAUACUGUUGAAAGAAUGUUUAGCAUAUGAUUAUGCCCAAAUGAUGGAAAUUCUAAUAACAGACUGGGUGUGUCAACCUACUGAUCCAUGCUUGAUUUCAUAAGUUUUCAAACCCUCUACAUUUUUCAGCUACAUUGCAGCUACUUGAAUUUUAUAUAUUCACGUAUAUAUGGAUUACAGCUAUUCUAAUGCUACACUCAUUAAGACAACAGUUCAAAGUGCUUCAUUCAUUCAUUGUAAUGAAUGCAGAAAGAAAACUUAAAUUGCUCUAUUCUCUCAAACCGGCUAAAGCACCUCCUGGCAACUGCUUAUUGUGCAGAAAACUUUGAACAAGCUUUCUCAUAUUGGCCUGACACAAUUAGGGAUCAGAGAACAUCUUUCUAGUGUCCAAACAGGUCAGCUUCCUCACGGUGGGAUAUUUCAAGGGGCUCUCAUACAGCACUUUCUGAAGGAUAUUUGACAUCACCUUGAUGCAGUCCCUCUUAAACCUAAGACUGUAAGUUGCCCUGUCUUUUUCUGCCUUUGGAGUUCCUGACAUGGAUAAUGAGAGUGAGCCAUGUAGUAAAUAUAUUUUCUGGAUCCUAGUAAUAUUUUUAAGAAUAACUUGAUACACUACCUUUAGAGUUGAUUCUGCACCUAAGUCAAUCUUCACUUCUUGAGGAUGGACCCAAUUCUUUUUGACACCAACAAUCCAGUCUGUCUAACUGGAGUGGACUGAUGUCAUGAAGCACUUCACGCUUGAUGAAACACCUCAAAAUACACUGAAGAGAAAAGCCAAAAAUGUAACCCAAAGAAUUACAACCAUAUUGAGCAGUCAAUUGUGUCAAAACUGCUUUCUUUUUUCAGAUUUUUUCAACAUGAUGUAUCUGUCAUACCAUGUAUUUAUGUUUAAAGUCAGAAAUAGAAACAAUGUUCAGUAGUGGAAUAUAUUUACCAUCAUCAAUUCUGCUAAAUUGUCCACAAGGAAUGGCAUCAUUGGCUCAUCUGUCUGGUAUGCGAUCAUGAAGGUGCAGAAGGUCCUGAUGGCAGACGUGUAGAAGUAAAGUUUUCCCAUGAUGAGAGAAUUGUUCUGUGCUGCUUUAAGGGUGUCAUUAGAAGAGGUUCCUAGAUUUGGUAGCUUCUUCGCCCUGACCACACCACGUACAUGGUCACAGCUGGUAUGUUCUCAAGCCACUGGUGGCCACAGAAUGGUAGAGGAAAUUGUGUGGUUUUGGUAAAACCCAUAAGGUCCUCUCUUCUUGCAGGUUUAUUAUGGAAGAAUGUGUGCACUAUCAGUCGAGCACCCCCAUACUGCUCUCCAUGUUCUUGCUGCAGUAGGGCCAGCAACUUCCAAAUAACAUUUGGUCUGUCCAUGGAGACUGACAACAGCUUAUGCCUAUCCAGGCCCUUGGGACCUUCCUAAGAAUAAGCAACGAUGAAUCACAUAAAGCAUAUAAAUAUAUAAUUACGCUUGAUUAAUACAGUAAAGACUGUAAAAUCUCGUACAGCAUAGCUUUGUAAUAGAUGUAAGGUUGACACAAUAAAGGUAUCAAUAAUAAUACCAACCCAAAGCAAAUCUGAGCCGUGACAGCUGUAAGUCACACAAAUUGAAAUUUUUGUUAAACUUUUUUUUUUUUGGUUUUUAAACUCCCAACAACAAUGUAAACAAUAUAUUUAAGAAAGGGCAAGCAUUUACAUCUUUUUUUGUGAAUGAGGACUUGUAAAUUUUCUUAGAUCGAAAACAUUUAAAGAUUUGUAAACAACCUUGCUUUUAUUUUUUUUAGAAAAAAAAAUCAGUUCAUUUGAUUUGUUGGAUAUCUAUUGUUUUUGUUCUCUUGU